GACGAACGCUGGCGGCGUGCUUAACACAUGCAAGUCGAACGAUGAAGCUGGAGCUUGCUCCCUCCGGAUCAGUGGCGAACGGGUGAGUAACACGUGAGCAAUCUGCCCUGGACUCUGGGAUAAGCGUUGGAAACGACGUCUAAUACCGGAUACGAGACGUGAAGGCAUCUUCAACGUCUGGAAAGAACUUCGGUCCAGGAUGAGCUCGCGGCCUAUCAGGUAGUUGGUGAGGUAACGGCUCACCAAGCCUACGACGGGUAGCCGGCCUGAGAGGGUGACCGGGCACAUUGGGACUGAGACACGGCCCAGACUCCUACGGGAGGCAGCAGUGGGGAAUAUUGCACAAUGGGCGCAAGCCUGAUGCAGCAACGCCGCGUGAGGGACGACGGCCUUCGGGUUGUAAACCUCUUUUAGCAGGGAAGAAGCGAAAGUGACGGUACCUGCAGAAAAAGCACCGGCUAACUACGUGCCAGCCGCCGCGGUAA
rnacentral:rRNA from 1 species